GACGAACGCUGGCGGCGCGCUUAACACAUACAAGUCGAACGGAAAGGCCUGCUUUCCCUUGUGGAUUGCGGGUACUCGAGUGGCGAACGGGUGAGUAACACGUGAGUGAUCUGCCCCCAACUUGGGUAUAAGCCUGGGAAACUGGGUCUAAUUCCCGAUAGGACUGCAGGGUGGUGCCUGUGGUGGAAAACGAUUUUCUAGUGGUUGGGGAUGAGCUCGCGGCCUAUCAGCUUGUUGGUGGGGUAAUGGCCUACCAAGGCGGCGACGGGUAGCCGGCCUGAGAGGGUGGACGGCCACAUUGGGACUGAGAUACGGCCCAGACUCCUACGGGAGGCAGCAGUGGGGAAUAUUGCACGAUGGGCGGAAGCCUGAUGCAGCGACGCCGCGUGGGGGAUGACGGCCUUCGGGUGGUAAACUCCUUUCGACCGCGAGGAAGCCACCUGGUUGGAAGGGUGGUGACGGUAGUGGUAGAAGAAGCACCGGCUAACUACGUG
rnacentral:rRNA from 1 species